AUUUAUUUUUUAGUUCUUGGUGGACACAACAUCUUUGUUGGUGUGUGGUGCUGAGGAUCGAACCCGGGCCGCACGCAUGCCAGGCGAGCGCGCUACUGCUGGAGCCACACCCCAGCCCCAGGACGUGCUUUGUGACAGGAAGAUUCCACCAGAUUCACAUUUGAGAAGAAGGGCAGGCUCUACUCUUCUUGAGGGGGAAGGUGACCACCCGACCCGGUUUCUUCACCUGUGAAGUGGGCGAUCCGCGCUCUUAAGCGACUGUGCUUCUGCACUAAGGUGAAGGUGGCCUGGCCACGGUGCACGCCUGGACGCGUCCAGGCCUGAGGAUCCCCAGACCAGACGUCCUCCACCAGGGCCGUCCCGCCCGAGGGAACAUGGGCCACGUCUGGGAACAUGUGUGACUGUCACAGCUGCAGAGCUCCCGGCCCGGAGUGGGCAGAGGCCAGGGACGCUGCUGAGCACCCUGCAGGGCCUGGACGAUGGACGGAAGCACAGCCCCAGCAUCCCCGGAGCAGACCCCACUGUACACGAGCCGCAGUGCCAACUGCGACUUUAUGGUCCUGGGCAUCGACCUGGGGGGCUCGACCACCGAGUGACACCCCCAGGUCUUUUUUGUUUUUAAUACAGGGUCUGGCUAAGCUGUCCAGGCUGCUGUGAGCUGGUGGUCCUCCUGCCUCAGCCUCCAGAGUAGCCAGAAUUACAGAUGUGACCUCCA